rnacentral:rRNA from 1 species
GACAAACGCUGGCGGUAUGCCUAACACAUGCAAGUCGAACGGACAGAACAGGGAAGCUUUUCGGAGUGGAACUGGAAAGUUAGUGGCGGAUGGGUGAGUAACGCGUGGACAACCUACCUUGUAAAGGGGAAUAACCUCGAGAAAUCGAAGCUAAUACCCCAUAAUAACCUUGCUUCGCAUGAAGUAAGGAGGAAAGGCGGCCUUAGCGCUGUCGAUACAAGAUGGGUCCGCGUCUGAUUAGCUAGUUGGUGAGGUAAAGGCCCACCAAGGCGACGAUCAGUAGCCGGCCUGAGAGGGUGAACGGCCACAUUGGAACUGAGACACGGCCCAAACUCCUACGGGAGGCAGCAGUGGGGAAUCUUCCGCAAUGGGCGAAAGCCUGACGGAGCAAUGCCGCGUGAGUGAAGAAGGCCUUCGGGUUGUAAAACUCUGUCCUUAUCGAAGAGAGAGUGUUGUAGUAACUGACAAUACUAGGACGGUAGAUGAGGAGGAAGCCCCGGCUAACUAUGUG